GAAGCUGUGAAACAUAUUCAAAGAUUAGUCAUGUCAUGUGACACUGAUAAGAAUUCAUAAACCAUGAGGUUGUAUAGCAUCAGUAAAAAAUAAAUAUGGAACUAGCAACAAAAGUUUGUAAAGUUUUGAAUGUCCCACUUUUUAAAAUUCGGAAAUAUCAAUCCUUUUCAAACCUUAACAUAACAUUCCUCAACUAACAAUUCUUUCUGACAAUCUAGUAACUAAGAAUUAUUGUACUGAUAGUCUCUCCCAAAAUGCUCUAUAGUAUUUUAUUUAAUAUUAUUCACUGAAUAAGUGAUGUGGCCUUUUUCUAAUCAAACGACUGUUAAAACAGGUUCAAGUCUACUUACAGUCAUAGCAGGAUAGCUUUGAUUGCUAUUGGACUGCUGAAACGUGGUACAAGGAUAAUUUACGUGGGCAGUGCCAAUUUCAAGAUCUUACCGUUGCAGUGAAAGUGUAAAGAGUUUCAUCAGCACACCCAUCCAUAUGAAUGCUGGCCCAGAACCACUAAAAGAAGAACGGAAAACAAUUGAAAACAAUUUCGUUUUUCAAUUGUUUUAGUUAGCCCAAGUAAUAAAAGGGCUACUGUAGAUCCAGAAGUUCCAAUCAAGGAAGGCUGAAGCAAGCAUUUCAAGAAUGUGGGGGUAGUUUACUUUCGGUAUACGUCCUACUUGCCCAUGUUAACGUGGUCGAUUCUAAAAGACUUCUACCU